rnacentral:rRNA from 1 species
UGGACAACAGGUAGAGAUUCCUGUACCAGUGCUAAUUGUUUAACCGAUGGGGUGACACAGAAGGAUAGGGAAUCGCACGAAUGGAAAUGUGCGUCCAAGCAGUGAGUGUGAGAAGUAGGCAAAUCCGCUUCUCGCGAAGCAUGAGCUGUGAUGGGGAAGGAAAUUAAGUACGGAAGUUCCUGAUUUCACGCUGUCAAGAAAAGCCUCUAGGAAGAGUAGUACUGCCCGUACCGCAAACCGACACAGGUAGAUGAGGAGAGAAUCCUAAGGUGAGCGAGAGAACUCUCGUUAAGGAACUCGGCAAAAUGACCCCGUAACUUCGGGAGAAGGGGUGCUCUAUUAGGGUGCAAGCCCGAGAGAGCCGCAGUGAAUAGGCCCAGGCGACUGUUUAGCAAAAACACAGGUCUCUGCAAAACCGUAAGGUGACGUAUAGGGGCUGACGCCUGCCCGGUGCUGGAAGGUUAAGAGGAGUGCUUAGCUUCGGCGAAGGUACGAAUUGAAGCCCCAGUAAACGGCGGCCGUAACUAUAACGGUCCUAAGGUAGCGAAAUUCCUUGUCGGGUAAGUUCCGACCCGCACGAAAGGCGCAACGAUCUGGGCACUGUCUCAACGAGAGACUCGGUGAAAUUAUAGUACCUGUGAAGAUGCAGGUUACCCGCGACAGGACGGAAAGACCCCGUGGAGCUUUACUGCAACCUGAUAUGGAAUGUUUGUACCGCUUGUACAGGAUAGGUAGGAGCCGAAGAGACGUGUGCGCUAGCAUACGAGGAGGCAAUGGUGGGAUACUACCCUGGCUGUAUGACCAUUCUAACCCGCCACGCUUAGCGCGUGGGGAGACAGUGUCAGGUGGGCAGUUUGACUGGGGCGGUCGCCUCCUAAAGAGUAACGGAGGCGCCCAAAGGU